rnacentral:rRNA from 1 species
CACGUGGGUAACCUGCCUGUAAGAACUGGGAUAACUUCCGGGAAACCGGGGCUAAUACCGGAUAGUUUCUUUUUCCUUCGCAUGAGGAAAAGUGGAAAGGCGGCUUCGGCUGCCACUUUACAGAUGGACCCGCGGCGCAUUAGCUAGUUGGUGAGGUAACGGCUCACCAAGGCAACGAUGCGUAGCCGACCUGAGAGGGUGAUCGGCCACACUGGGACUGAGACACGGCCCAGACUCCUACGGGAGGCAGCAGUAGGGAAUCUUCCGCAAUGGACGAAAGUCUGACGGAGCAACGCCGCGUGAGUGAUGAAGGUUUUCGGAUCGUAAAGCUCUGUUGUUAGGGAAGAACAAGUGCCGUUCGAAUAGGGCGGCACCUUGACGGUACCUAACCAGAAAGCCACGGCUAACUACGUGCCAGCAGCCGCGGUAAUACGUAGGUGGCAAGCGUUGUCCGGAAUUAUUGGGCGUAAAGCGCGCGCAGGCGGUCUCUUAAGUCUGAUGUGAAAGCCCACGGCUCAACCGUGGAGGGUCAUUGGAAA